rnacentral:rRNA from 1 species
AUUGAACGCUGGCGGCAGGCCUAACACAUGCAAGUCGAGCGAGCGGAGGACGGGUGAGUAAUGUCUGGGAAACUGCCUGAUGGAGGGGGAUAACAACUGGAAACGGUAGCUAAUACCGCAUACCAUCAGAUGUGCCAAGAUGGUAUUUGCUAGUAGGUGGGGUAAUGGCUAAACUAGGCGACGAUCCCUAGCUGGUCUGCGAGGAUGACCAGCCACACUGGAACUGAGCCACGGUCCAGACUACUACGGGAGGGAGCAGUGGUGAAUAUUGCACAAUGGGCGAAAGCCGGAUGCAGCGAUGCCGCGUGUAUGAAGAAGGCCGUCGGGUUGUAAAGUACUUUCAGCGGGGAGGCGUUACCCGCAGAAGAAGCACCGGCUAACUCCGUGCCAGCAGCCGCGGUAAUAC